rnacentral:rRNA from 1 species
UACAGAGGGUGCGAGCGUUGUCCGGAAUCACUGGGCGUAAAGGGCGCGUAGGCGGCUGGGUAAGUGUGCGGUGAAAGCCCGGGGCUCAACCCCGGGUCGGCCGUGCAGACUGCUUGGCUUGAGCAUAGUAGAGGCAGGUGGAAUUCCGGGUGUAGCGGUGGAAUGCGUAGAGAUCCGGAAGAACACCGGUGGCGAAGGCGGCCUGCUGGGCUAUUGCUGACACUGAGGCGCGACAGCGUGGGGAGCAAACAGG